rnacentral:tRNA from 1 species
GAGGAUAUAGCUCAAGUGGUAGAGGACGUGCUUAGCAUGCAUGAGAUCCUGGGUUCAAUCCCCGGUACCUUCA